rnacentral:sRNA from 1 species
GUAAUAGAAUAGGUGACUCAAGGGUGGUCGGCAUACAUCCCCAAAAGAAAGGGGGUGGUGCUGAUGACAGUAUUCGAAGCAUUGAUGUUUGCAGUCGCAUUCGCAACAUUGAUCAGAGGCAUACUGUCGUUUAACCAAAAAAAAUAAUCCACCCUUGAGUUAGAGGCUCAGGUGGAUUAUCCCGAUUUUGCCGAUCCCCCUUGAAGGGAACCGUUCUAUUACUCGACCGUAGAUGUUACAGCAUCUGCG